UGUCCAGAAGACAAUCAUUGGAGGUCUCGCUCUCGACAUCCUAUCUGUCCCCUCUGAGCCUAAUCCCAGGCCGUACGCUGUGGGCGACUCGAGUGAUUUCUGCAAGCUUAUGGGAAACCGGUCUUUCAAACAUGGAUCUGCCAUUCAGCAGGGCUCUCCAAGGAUUCAUCAAAGUCGGGAUGUUUCCUCAAACGGCUGCUGUCUGUAUAGCGAGUAGAUAGCAAGCAGCUCGGGAAGUUUUGGAACAGAGCCACGGAGAGCCUUUGGGACGGAUGAGCUCUCAAAGUAAAUAAAUGGCGAGAUACAAAAUGUGAUUGUUGGUUUUCAUCCAGUGAACUGUUCUCUGGGGUUCCCAGAGCCAACAGAAACUGAUCGACAUGCUCCUGGUGUGGUGGAUCCAUCCUAGUCUUUGUCCGUCCGGUGUAUAUCUGAUACAUUUUGCUCACAAAAGUACUUUCUCCAGUUUGUUGGAGGAUUUUUCACUAUUGUUGCUGUUUUACUGUUAGUUGAGACUAUGCUGUUAUUAGAUUUAAUUAUGUGUAAUAUGAUUUAUCGCAUAUAAAUCACACAGGGUCAAAACUGCAUCGCUGCAGUGUGUGCAUAUGCCGACGUGUCACAUCCAAACUCGUGAGAGAACCUCGUAUUUCACAAGGUAGCAAUUUUUCUACGACUUCUUAAGAUGUGAUUCAUAUGAACACUUUUUUUUAUAAAAAUAAGGUCCAUUGCUAAUUUAACCAUUAGUCGGGGUUAUUCAAAGUGUACUAAAUUUGUGUUUUUAGAACUUUGACAAAUAUUCUGGUUCAAGUUCUCUCAACGUUCUUCCAGCAACGGUAAUAGAAUGCUAUGUUAUUACACAUAGUUCAUGGAAUGUUUUUUUUCAUCCCCAAAUCAUUUGCCUUAUUUCAGAAUAUUCAAAAAAACAUUCAAAAGCAACAAAUUUCACACAAAAAACUAAUAAAAAAAUAUAUUUUUUGCUCUAUAGCCACCAUUUCAUUAAAACAAUACAAUACAUCAUACAAAAAAAAUCAGUGUUUAAGUCACAUUUAUAAGUCAUAAGUAAACACUGAAUGUACUAUAAAGAUGAACUUCAUUCUUUUAACUCAAAAUCUAGAUCUGUGAGGUUAGACACGGCCCAAGAUUUAGUUCACAAAGCAUUUAUUUAUUUUUUUCAUGACUGACCUGUUGAGAUGUUCCACACACCAUUUAACAUCACAGCGUCUGAAAGAGGUGCCGCUGGAUGCGUGAUGCUGAGAGGCAGACAGCUAAUGCUGGUCUGUCAUUUACAUCUGACAAAGCUGUGUUUGAGAAGUGGGAGAUCUGACAAUUUUCAUAACCCCUGCAACCUUGUGUUUGUAUAAAUUGAAUAGUGGGCAGUUGGACCAGAGGGGACGCAGCUGCUACCUGAACAGAAUAGCAAUGCUUAUUUAGAAGUCUGCCACCACUCUGUGGACGACCGCAGCGCUUCCCUUCUUUCUAAAUGAACGGGGGAUGUGAUGAAGUGAAGCAGCAGGAGGUGAAACUGUGGGAAGAACAGGCCGACGUUUAGCAGACAUUUUAAUUAAAUUCAGGAAACGGCAGCGUUUUGAACACGCUGUAUCAACGUUUUUAUGCAUAAUAUCUGCAGCGCAUGAGAACAAAAUGCUACCUGGUUUAUUAAACAUCUGA